UUAAAACUUUCAACAACGGAUCUCUUGGUUCCGGCAUCGAUGAAGAACGCAGCGAAAUGCGAUAAUUAAUGUGAAUUGCAGAAUUCAGUGAAUCAUCGAGUCUUUGAACGCACAUUGCGCCCCCUGGUAUUCCGGGGGGCAUGCCUGUCCGAGCGUCAUU
rnacentral:rRNA from 1 species